GGACGGCCACGGCCCCUCCAGCGUCCCGUUCGAAAACAACCGUCCGAGCUGUGUAUGCAUUCCCAAAAUAUCUACUUUUAUCGGCCCACAGAUCCACAAGGAAACCAAAACUCCCCACAAAUUUGAUCUGAUCAUUUCAAAAUCCCACACCACCUCUUCCAAAAUCGCGUCGUCACACCAAGAAGCUCUCGGAAUUUCGAGUUCUCCUCCAAUUUUUCCUGUCAUCGGGCGCGCAGAUUUUGACCAGUUAUCAGCUGUUCUUCUCCAGUCCCUCGAAGCGCAGAAUUUUGUUCCUUUUUCCGGCUGUUUUGAUCCGACGGUUCUUCCGAAUCACUCUCUCCGCAGCUGACGUCCCUUUUCCGGGUUUUGCUGUUGCUGGGGGCGUAAAAUCCCUCAAGCUGGCGAAUUCGGCGUGUCCAUGGACCAGCCCGAGAGCUCUCUCCCCCAUGCCGCGGUCCAGAAGGGGCAGACCCCACGCCACGAGGAGCUCGUGCGGCUCAUCGCGCAGUCGCUCUACUCCCUCGGUUACCGGAAGGCGGCAGCCACGCUCGAGGCGGAGUCCGGUGUGCCACUGUACCCCCCGGAGCACGACCGCCUGCUGCUCGACGUAAUGUCCGGCCGGUGGGACGCGUGCGCGGCCACUAUUGACUCUCUUACCGGCAUUACCGAGAGGAACCGUGCGGUUGCCGAGUUUUUGGUGUGGAGAGGGCACUUCCUGGAGCUGCUGGGCACUGGGGACGCUGGUCUACGCCUUGCAACGGAGGUGCUCUCGCGUCGGAUCGCCCCUCUUGCCAUCGACAGAAGAUGUGUGCACUGGCUGGCACGCGCAGUGGUCACGUCCGAGGGCGCGGUUGCACCAGAGGCUGUGGCUGAGUGCAGGAUUGGGCUUUUCUUGGAUUUGGUUGAGGCGUUGCCGCCAUGGUUCCGGGUGCCAAGUGGGCGGCUUGAGCAUUUGGUGGAGACUGCGGUUAUUCAGCAGGUUGCUUCGUGUAUAUACCAUAAUCUGCCGGAUGAGGUCACUCUAUUUGAGGAUCACAAGUGCCAUGAAGAGCAGAUCCCUUCUGACUGUAGACAGAUAUUGUGUGCUCAUAAAAACGAAGUUUGGUUUGUAAGGUUCUCAAAUGAUGGGAACUACCUGGCAUCAUCUUCAAGUGAUUGUACUGCCAUCAUAUGGAAGGUGGAAGAAGAUGAUACAUUAACCAAGAAGUACUGCCUCGAGGGUCACAAAAGUCCUAUUUCUUUUGUUGCUUGGAGCCCAAAUGAUAGAAUGCUUCUCACUUGUGGUAAUGGGGAAUCUUUAAAACUGUGGAAUGUUGAUACUGGUGAAUGCAAUCUUAAAUUUGGUGCUGCAGUAAAACACAUCAUCGCGUCAUGUGCAUGGUUUCCAAAUUCAGAGAAAAUAGUAUGUGCCAGCUCUGAACCUGAAAGUUCUCCAAAUAUGAUUUUCACUUGUGACCUAGAAGGCCAAGAACUGGAAAUGUGGGCUGGAGAGAGAAUACCCAAAGUUAGUGAUCUUGCUGUGACACCUGAUGGCAAACAUCUAAUCUGUGUAUGUCCCAACGAAAUUUGGAUUCGAGAACUUCGGAAGGGGCGGGAAUGGAAAAUUCCUGAACGGCAGACAAUUUCAUCUCUUUCUCUUUCAGGUGAUGGACAGUCAAUGAUUGUCAACCUUAAUAGUCAGGAAAUUCAUUUGUGGAAAACCAAUGGAAGUUCUAGAGUGCCCGAUAAAUUCAAGGGGCACAAGCAAGGAAAGUUUGUGAUUAGAUCAUGCUUUGGGGGAUCAGACUAUCAUUUCAUUGCUAGCGGCAGUGAGGAUUCACAGCACUAUGGUUCGGAACGCCCCUGACUCUGACGAUGAUGACUUCAUGCCUCCCAGAGCUGAAGUUGCGGGUGCUGCUAACGGGAAUGCAAAGAAGCAGAAAGCCGCACGCAAUAGGGGAUCACAUGAACGCCUAACGGGACUGUAUGAAGAUUUCGAUGAUGCCCAGAAAGAAGCUGCAAAGGAAAUCGGUAUGCAGGCAUUGAUGAACAUUCAGUGCACUAACUUAAAUAACCCCAUGUGUGACUGGUUUGCGAGGUUAUACCAUCCGGACAAGAGGGAAUUUGUCAUACCAGGACGUGGUAGGAUUCCACUUGAUGAGGAAUCUGUUUUCAAUACACUUGGUGUCCCCAAUGGCGGCAUGGAUGUCCCAUACAAGAUCGAUACGGAAGUGCAAUCACGUCUUUUUCCUGAGAUGUUCCCUGGUCUUACAUCCCUCCCGGUGAACUCUGCUUUCGCGAACAUGCUUGCUGCGAUGGAAGCUGCUUAUGUACCUCAUCUCAAAUGUGUUUGCUCCCAUGACAUCGUUAUGGCCCAGCAGCAGAUGCUUCCCUGUUUUGGACCAGAUAGGGAAUGUCGCCAACAUGAACUGGUGCAAGUUCAUAGUUGGUUUCCUUCACACUUGACUGUCAAACAAAGCGUUCAACAAAGGCUGUCGGCUGCAUCUGAUGGCAAG